CAUGUUAAUUCAACACUGUCUUCAGAGCGUCACUGACGCGGUGACUUCUCUUUACUUUCACUCGCACCUUCAGGACAGCAAAAAGAAGAGCCAUUUGUUAGUGGGAACUGCAGAUGGAGUUCUGGUGGUUUAUGAAGAUUCAGAGAUCCAGCGUGACAAUGGCCAGCCACUGAAGACACUAGUGAUUGGAAAUGUCAACACUCCACUCAUGUGCCUUGGCCAGUCAAGUCACUCACUGGAUAGAACCACAGUUUGGGCCGGCUGUGGAACUCGAGUCCUGUCCCUCACG